GAUGUAUGUACCCUGUUCAUUGCAGCAUUAAUUACAACAGCCAAAUUUUGGAGGCAGACCAAGUCUCUAUCAAAAAAUGAUGUAUUUAUAUAUACAAUACAAUAUUACCCAACUAUAAAAAAGAAUGAAAUCUUACCAAUUGCAACAACAUGCAUGGAUGGAGAGGGUAUAAUGCCAAAUGAAACAGGUCAAUCAGAUAAAUACAAAUACCAUAUGAUUUCAUUCAUAUGUGGAAUUUAAGAAACAAAACAAACAAAGAAUACAAGAGACAAACCAAGACUCUUAACUAUAGUGAACAAAU